CCUCAGUUAAAAUGCAGCCAGGAUACUUGUGGCCUGCAGUUUCCUUCGCUGGCCAAAUAAGACAAGGGACAUGGUGUCUCUCGACAUACUGGCGCCAUAAUUGCUUUAUACAGAGCAUGGAAUGUUGCUGUUUUGAACUUAACGUGCCUGUAAACUCCUUCGGUUGGGAUUGCGCAACAUGAUCAGGCUUAGAUCUCUGGCACUGAGGCAAUGAAUUGAUCAUUCCGGAAAUGAUCACAAUUUCAGAGAAGUUAACAGAACAAAAGGAUUUUCUCAGAAGAAGCUUCCUGGUCACAUUUGAGAACCAGGUGCCCUGAAGUAAUGAGAGAAGACAAAGACUCAUGAAGCAGAAUUUACUUGGAGAGUGCGCUGGAGGAGGUAAGAAAUUAAGCUCAUGUCAAACGCAUGGAAGAAAUUUUAGAAGCAGAUGAAACUCAGCAGGUCUGGCAAUAUCCUUAGGUGUUUGGCAAUUUUCCAACAGGAAUUCUCCAAGGUUCCUGAAAGAUGUAUGCUUUUCUACGCUGUAUUCAGAGUUGUUUCUCAGCACCUGGACAAAUUAUAGAAUGCA